GAAGAGAGAGCCUUGCAGCCACGUUUCCUCACCCUUCACCUUUUCUCCUCUGGGGUGGCUGUCCCACUGCAGGCAGGCCAUGCCCUUGUGCCAAAGCAGUCAUAUGAGCAGGGGGUGUCUCCAGGAUGACCCCUGGGUUGUGUUUCCCCCAGCCAAGGGCUCUUUCCAGCAUUCCAGAGGGAGCAGCUCCAGCUGGGAAGACACAGGCAGGAGCUGCCUGUGGCCCAGCUGCACCCAAGGAAUAUUAGCAUGCUUUCACUUAAUGCACUCUGAAUCUGCCAGGGUUCCAAGAGCAGCACAGAAUAUAUUUUCUCUCAGCAGUUAAUGCACGCUGAGAUUUGUGCUGUGUGAAUGCAGGUCAUCCGGACGUGCAGAAACUGAAAUGGAAAAGAAUGUGAAGGGAGUCCCUGCUCCCCUGUGUAAACAAGUUCUUAAUCUUUCUAGGCUCUACCUGAGAAAGGAUUUAGGAUGCUGAUCCUCAAUUUUUUCAGUCUCCUCUCCAUCAUCUGUGGGUGUUUACCAAAGCACCAGUUUUACUCCUCUGCACACCUGGAUUUGAGUCACGCGCUGAGAAGAAAUGAGACAAUAUUUUAUUGUAGCAGCAUCCAGAAAGAGUUUUCCUGCUGCCCAGCCAUUCCUGUUGUUUCUGAGCAGAGGGUACUAAUUAUCCAGUAUGUGAAAUUACAAUGGCAGAAAAUAGUGAACAUCUCAAACAGGGGAGUAAUUGCAAUCUCUGUGUUCACCUCUGUUUCACCACACUGGGAAUAGCAAGCUUGGAAUGCUCAGAUCCCCAUAGACCACAAUCCUGUUAGUAUUAAGUGCAGAUCAUUCUGGAACAUGUCUAGCCAGGAGCAAGAGGAGCUGUGGUGAGGGGCAAGUGUCCAUAUGGAUCUCUCUGCUCUUUAUGCAUAUGCAGGGCAUUUCCCCUCAGAUUUUCCAGCUGCCUCUUAUCCUUUUCCCUUUAGAUGGGAUCUUACAUUUGUCUUCCUCUGCUGGCCCUCUCCCUAAGGUGCUACAGCAGAGGGAGGUGAUUUGUCCACAGGUUAUUAGAGCAGACACCACAUACACUAGGAAUUCCCAGUGCAUAAAUAAUGUCUUUGCUAAUUAAUUUAUUUUUGUUUGAGCCUCUCGUCCUGUCCUGUUACUGGCACUUGUGAUUAUUAGAACAGAAAGCCCAAGUCCUUUCCCAGUCCUUUGUCAGAUGGCUGCCUCUUGUGUUAACUAGUAGGCUGCUCUGUACACCAUCCUUGGAAUGAAAAUUAGCUGCUCUGCAAAAAGGCAACAACAGGAGAAGAAUAAAAAUUAUGGAGUCUGAAACUCCACAAAAAUUAAAAAUAAAAAGUAUUGCUGUUGUGGUAAGCCUGGAGAUAAACAAGGAAGUCAUACAAAACACCAAACAAAGGUGUCCCCUUGUCCUUGGUCAGCCCCUUUCCUGCCAGGCCUGAGCAGUCAGGAGACAAAAUCUUCCCUCUGAGAUGGGAUAUUUAAACAGGACACUAAGGAAUGGCAAUGCUUGUCUGAGCACUGAUACCACUGCUAGCUGCUGCCACUACAUGGAUUAUUUCCAGUAGCUACAAGAAAUACAACUAGAUCUGGUCUGGCAGGUGUUCCAAGCACUGUAGCAGAGUCUUAUCCAGGUGAAAAAGACAAAAAUAAAUGUUUAUCAAAGAGUUCUGAUUGCUAGAGAAUAGUACCCCUGGCUCCUAAUGGAAAGUUACAUUUUGCAGAACAACCUAUAGAUGCUAUCUCACAGCUGUCACAGUGAAAUUACCUUCAGAGAAGUGAGCCAGAGUCUGCUAGGAGUCACAGAAUGUGCAAAUGUCCUGAGUCUGAGUGCCUCAGAGGUGCAGUUAUAUCUCAUCUUCAUUAAAGAAAAAGUGCAGCGAGGAAAGAUUUCACAUCAUUCUUUAAGAUAACAUGAAAACCACAUCAAUUCUGGACUGUAAUAUUCUUAUUCUACCCAAAGGUCAUUUGUUUUCUGUGCAUAAGUAGAGCUGCUAUUUCCUUUUGUGCAUCCUCAGAGGUGUGUAUUUUGUUUCCUGUUCAACAGAAAACUCUGAGUGAAAGCAGAUGUAGUAACUACCUCUACCUCUGUAAAGUAACUAUGCAGAGUGCCUGACCUACAGUUUAGAAGGCUGGGAAAAAAUGCUCUUUGUUUUAAAUUUAGAGUUUGGGUUGGGUUUUGUUUGUUUGCUUGUUUUUUUCUGAACAGUGUCUAUGCUGAGAGCUGUGGAAGGAAUCAACAAACCAAAGAGCAAAGCAACAAUAGCCACCACAGGGAAGUUCAGAAAAAUCUAACUGAUGAAAAUGUUUAGCAAACAGCCUGGAGAAAAUACAUGGGAAAUGUGUACGCAUCAACUUAUCCAUAAACUAUUGAUUGCAAGGGGCUGAAGCUGUCUGCAAGUGCUGGAUGAUUUUAGAAGAGAUUUUAUUUGCAAUUCUGCCUCAAAAGCAAGGUGUUGUCGUUACUUAUAAUAGAAAGUACAUGGUGUUGAAGACAUGCAGGUGUCUGUGGGAGAGGGGCUUGCACUCCAAUACCCAAGUUUGUGUCUUUAUGCACAGUAUCUGUGAAAACAUGAGGAAGUCAUCGCACUUGAAUCAUCCUUCUGGGGCAAACUGCCUUCAAAGCUUUGUUUUCCCUGCUACAUCUGCUAUCCUGCUUGCUCUCUCUGUUUUCCACACAUCUAUAUCUGCAAGGGAUUUCCCAGGCAGAAGCGCGUAGCUACGUGCCAAACCCUUGUUCUGUGCACAAACAGCAAAGAUAAUGUUCCAGGGAUGGAUCACACACUGAGCUCACUCUCAGCACAUCCAGCAAACACGGCCUGGAAGGCUCAGCCCAGCAACCACAGAACCCUGAGCUGUGGCCACAGCACAGACCUGACACCUCUGAGAGGACCAGAGCUGUGGCGGAGCUCAAAUUCUCAGAGUGCUGGGAAAAUCUUCAAAGUCUUUGACAGAAGCUGCAUGAAACUUCCUCAGACAAAAGGUUGUUCCUAAGAGAUCCACAGCCACCACAAGGAUUGUGAUACAAGAGUCAGUGGAGGGAUUGGUCCCAUCCUAUCAUUUCCUUGAGGAGAGGACCAACAAUGCUGCCUCCAACCCUUGGUUUAGGGUCGCAGGUGGUGAAUACACAGAUUCAGGGGGACUACAAGCAACUACUGCUGGGCCAGAACUCCUGAUUUUCAAUUCCUGCUCAGGCCUGGAUUGGUACUGCUGAACUUCAUUGUGCCUCUGAGAAAUGGACACAAUACUUUCAUUUAUCAAUAAGCUGUUGUGCUGCCCAGGUUCUAUGAUUUUUGGUUUUUUGCUUUGGAUGACACAUUAAAACACAGAGGAAUAAUCUGAUGGCAAGGAAAUGUUGCACGUCUCAGAACUCUCCACUCACAGAAGAGGCUGAAUGUAUCCUUUUGAAGGUGUGGAUGCACGUGAAAAAAGUAUCAAGAUUACUCUGCUCCUUAGAAAUUAUCACUGCAACUCUUCUCUCUGCCUCUCUUUUUCUUUACACAAGUGCCAAAAUUGUCUCUUAAAAAUGCUUAGAACUCAUCUUCUGUCAUGUAGAUGCUGGAGUUUAUUUUGAAAUGCAAGCUUGUCUGAGAAAGCUGUAUGAUGCAUGUGUUUAUGCUACAUAAAAAUAUUAACAUGAACCAAAUCCAAACUCAGGUCCAUGAUUAGAUCUAAGAAAGGAAUUAGCCAAGCACUUAAAUGAUUCCCAAGGUUAAAUCCUUGAAAUGCCCAAUGAAAGCCAUUGACACAGGAGCCCUCCAAGGUCUGUGAUGAUCAAAGGAUCUUAGCACCCAAGUAGUCUCAAAGAUUUAGGUACCUAAAUCUGCCAUCUAUAGAUGAACAAUUUCUUCCUAUUUUGUUACAAAGGAAUUUGAUUUUGGUGACAAAGAGAAGGGGCAGAAAAUGGAGCACAGUCCUCCAGCGCAGCGAGGUCCAUGUCUUGAAUUUGUGGCAUUUAAAUGAAACUACAAAACAGUCUUCAAAGCAAGGAGAAUCCUCAUCCAGAAGGGAAUAUCAGGAGAGAGAUUGUUUUUGUCACUUCUGAGCAGGAAGAUAGGAACACCAGGGAACUUUCUGGUGAACAUCCAAGUAUCUUUAUCCUUUUGGAUGCCAGCAAGGUUAAGAAAGGGUUUUUUGAAUUGUGUUUUUGGAUUCAAUGUCUAAAUCUCACAUAAAACCUACCCAGGAAAUCUAGCUGCCUCUGCUGAAUUGAUUUUGUUUCCUACUGCUUUUUCCUGAUUACUUAUAUAUAUAUAUUUAUAUUCCUUACAUGUGUGCAUUUUAACCCCAUAACUGCUGAUGUAUUAUGUGGCAAAUCAAACAUUGAUAAAGCAAGCCUGUCUACCAGAUUGUCAGAAAAUCUCUUCAAAAUGGACAGCAUGAGGCUUCCACCAAGAUUUAUCAACAAAUGAGUCAGAAAAACCCCACAUUAUGGAACCAGGAGAAGCCACCAAGUAAAUUGAUCCAGACCUACAUGCAUGCAGUGUUUCAUGUCCUUGGCAGCAAGAACCUGUGAUGGCAGCCAGCGAGAGCCCACGACCCCGCUGCUCAUGCAGAGUUUGUGUGCAAUAACUCAGCUUGCAGCUAGGCAGUGAUUUGGAAUCAGCAGCAGCUCUGAUUUGAAACCUGUGAGCCAACAGCCCUGUGGGUCACAGCUGCCCUCAGCUCUGCAAAGUUCAGGGCUGCUUCAUUCCUGCCCCCAGGGCUCAGCAAACUCCAGGCACAUCUCCAGAUCCAGUCCCUGGUGGCUCCAAAGACAGGUGUGCUGCUGCCCAAGGCUGAGCCCAGCAGGAAUGGUGGGAAUGCCUCUGUGAUUACAGAUUUAAGAAGAAGAAAAAAGUUGUUGCACAGAUGUGAUUGUGGCCAGAGAAGAGCAGGAUGAGAGCAUGUGAGAGGAGCGGCUUUGCAGACAGCCAGCUUCCUGGAGACAGACGGGAGGAGGACCAGGAGGGUCCCUGAAGAAUCCACUGGACUUGGAUGCCCAGAGGGAGAACUAAGGGAAAGUCAGGAAGGACCUCAGCAAAUCUCACUGUUUGAGACCCUGUACUGACUGUGUGCAGCAAAAUUAAAGGGCUACCAUGAUCCAGGUGAUGCUCUAGCUUGCUCAGAUCCUGCUGCUGAGGAACCAGCUCCUUGAGAAGAAGAGAUGGAUGGAGGAACCUGGCAGGGAAGGAAGCUGUGGGAGAGCCUGCCUCACAUCCCUGCCCCUGACAGCCUGGCAAUGAUGGAUGCAGAACCUCAGGGGUUGCCUGAGAUCAUGGGAGUUACUUGAGGCCAUUUGAGGUCUCUUGAAGUCUUUGGAGACUCUGAGAAUUGAGGGCAUUUGGGUUUAUUUGAGGUCAUGGGAGUCCCUGGAGCACACGGCACUCCCUGAACUCAGGUAGUAAUGCCCUCUUUUUCUCUCUGUCUCCCCCCACUCUGUCUCUUCCCUCAUUCUCUUCCCAUUUGUCUUCCUCUUGCUCUGUGUUUUCCAGCUUUCUUUAGUAAGGUAACUCAGUAGCAUUUUGGUUUUUUGGCCACCAAUAAACAG